UCAGACAAGGAAGAGUUGGUGGGGUUCAAAGGCCCAGAUAAGGUUGUCUUGUAAGCAGUCACAGCAAAGAGGAAGCUCUGUCAGAAACAAAGAAUGCUUCCAAGGGCAGAUUGCAGGCAAGAGGGGGCCAGAGCUGGCAGCUAACUCACUUCCUCCAGGAGGCCCGGCAAGAGUGAGCUGCACAGAUGAAGUUCUUUCUUCUCGGAACAUGAAACACAGCAGGGCAAGCCAGGCAUGUUAGGAGUCAUGUGGAGGUCUCAGGGCCAUUCAAACUUACUGGAGCAAACAGCUCUACACAGAGUAGAUUGGAUUGUCAGAAAUGAGCCGCCCACCCUUGAAAAGCACACUGGGGAAAAGGCUGCCCAAACGCAGUAGGUGCACCCUGCCUGAAGUCUAGGUGAAAGUCUCCCAGGGCAAGGGGAAGCUCACACAGUCCCUGUCAAGACAUCAAUGACGUUUUGCCAGGACAGAUCCAGACUGGUUCUGAAAGCCCAGCUGUUGUCCUGCUCCUGCCUACAAGGGGAGACACAGACACCUCCCUCCCCAGACUGGCACCAUUAAUUAAGUGGUGGCUCUGAGAAAAACAGCAAGUGAAAUCCAGGAAAGCGGCUCAGCAUGAACUCCCGCUGGGGCCCACAGUCUUACUCAUCCCGGUCCCAGAUGGAUCUUAGAGGCGCGGGUCUAGGGGAGAAAACCAAGCGCCUGUAGACAUUUGCUGUCCUCCGUGUCCUGGCUCCUCCUCACCCUGCCUUCCUGUUUGCCCUGGUAAGGGAAAACUGCUGGAGUUAGAGAAGCUUCCAGAAGGUGCAUGUUUCUUAUGGUUUUUCCUUGACUGUUCCAUUUCUGGCUGGAGAAGAGUUAGGCCUUGUGCCUUCUGGGUAAGUAUUCUACCACGAAGCAUCAUCUUCUGUCCCCAGAGCUCAUGUUUUGCUUUCCUUGUGCCUCCCAGACACAGAGCCGCCUCUCUGAUUGGCUACUGGGCAGACGCGGAGGCAGCUCAAAGCACCCAGACAUGCCUAGCCUUGCUACCCAUUGGAAGGCCAGAUUAUUCUACAAAUGUAGGGCUUCAGUGGAAAGUUUAAUCCAUCCCCCCACUCCCCACACACACACACACACACACACACACACACACACACACACACACACUCCUAAGAACUAGACCUGCAGUAGGCAAACACUCUACCACCAAGCCACAUCCUCAGCUUUUGGAAACUUGCUUUGGGAUGAAGAAUUAAGUCCUCCAGUGAUUUUUUUUUUUUUUUUUACAUAUUCCCAUAAUUCUUCUCUUCUUUUUCGUGCCUUUCAAUCAUAGCAUUACUGCCCCGAUUAACAGGAAAGCCACCUGCCAGCUAAUACCAGGGCCUGGAAACGAUUUAUCUUUGUACAUUCAUCUCCUUUAGCUGAGGAAGGGUGCCUCCCUACCUCCCCAGUUGACUACAGGGUCUGCAACCCACGGAGAGUAAGGUGAGUGAGGCCCCAGCCCUUCUGGUAUGAUCCUAAACAAGCAAGGCCAGGCCCCCAGCAGUAGGCCUUAUUCAAAGCUGACCCCAGCAAAGGGCUGGAGGCCAAGUCUCAGCCUUAGUGGUCCCCUGGCACCCAAGGGCUGAGAGAGGUCUCCCAGGGCAGUCCAUUUCCUGCUUCUAGAAACUUGGCCUGGGGCCUUUCCCAGCAAGGACCCGCCUUUCCUCUCCUCCCGCCCUCGGGGCGGAUCUAGCCUCGCCACCCAGGGCGGGCUGCAGCUUGUGGCCCGGGGCAGCGGGCUUCCAAGGCGCCCAGCUACCCCGCGGGGUGACAUUGGCCCUCCCUUCUCCCUCGGCCUCAUGACUUCUGGUAAAGGCCCCGUUAGUCCCCACCCACCUCCCACCUCCGCCCUCCGCCGCAGCCGGACUGGUGAGGACCGCGCCUCCCCGGGAGGCUGUGCUCUCCCCCGCCCCUGGCAGCAAGCUGCGCUUCGGAAACUGUUGACUCAGAGGGUGGCCUGGCGGCCAGCGUCUGAUGUCAGCCUGGAGCCCGGCCGCGCCGGGGAAGCCAAGGAGAUGCACGGUGCGGGUGCGGGCGCCCGGCCCGGUGGGCGCCGUAGGGACGGCGCUGCAGCGAAGCUGGCGGGCUGCGGCUGCCGGGGCGCCCGUGACUCACGAUGCGUCACGGAGCAGAUGCCCGCAGCGGCUCGAGGCUCCCGGCUGCUGCUGACUCAUCAGAAAGCUGUGCGCGGCCCGGGUGGCUUUGGGGCGCCCGGAGCCGGAAAACCCCCAUGAAAAGGCUGGGGCGCGGGCGGGCACUGCAGCGGGGAGCCGCAUGGCUGGCAGCUGCUCGAGCCACCUGCAGCGCAGCCUUCUGCGAGCGACCAAGACACACACAGAGACAGAUGGACAAAACUGUUCCUAGGUGUCCACUGGCUGGGGUGUUACCCAAGGUCGCUGGUGUUUGGUCCCGUCUUUAGACUUGAAGGUCUGUUUGGGAAGAGCAGAGCAGCAGCACACCGGGGACUGGAUCCGUGCCUUCCUGGCCUCACUCUUACCCUAGCCCUCUCUAGGGAAGCCACACUGCGGCUGUGGACACCACUUGCUGGCUCAGAGCCUGGCUCCAGAUCUUUCCUGUCAAUGAUGGCUGGCCACAAGGCCCUGUGGCACUCAGGAAAUGCAGCCAGGGGUCAGAGAAUUCUCAGAAAAGGGUGUGGAUCUGGAGGGAUUGUCUGUGUGGUGUCCACCCUGUCCUAAACUGGGACAAAUGCUCUAAAGAUACUUGAGGAGCCUCAAUGCAAGGCUUUCCACCCCAGAUAGGGCAAUACUGCAAGAUGAAAUAGGAUUUCAUAGGCAUGCACAUACAGGAUAACCUGCACCCGAAGUAGUCAUGGGAAGGGGCGGAGGUCUGUGUGGAACACAGCCGCAGAAACCCUGGUGGGCUGGCGUUAAGGUGGGGGCUUUGGUAGAAAUGUGGACAGGUGGAGGAAAGGCAUUCCAAACACCUAAACGCCCUAGGAAACGGGAGGGUAAAUUUUAGAAUCAGCAAGCAGUCCCUUUUGCUCGGAACCCCAGAGCAUUAGCUGCUCCAGCCUAGCAGCAUAGAUGUGGCACUUAGAAUCACCACGGUGCCCCAGAAGGACCUGGAGCAAACUCCAGUCUGCCCACUGCCCCUGGCAGGUAGUCACGUGCAUUCCCAGAUGGGUCCCUUCCAAGAACCCCACGUCCUGCUCAGCCACGGCUGCAGGAACCUCAGCUUUGGAUGUCUUUUUAUGACUUGGCGCCGAGUGCAGAUCGCAGAUCGAUCCUUUUUAGUCCAUACUUCACACUUUUCCUGUUCUGUCCUUCAGUCACUGUACUGACCUACACCAUCAGGUCUCAACUGACAGCACUUUGGAAUUAUUUAGAGGUGCUUUGGAAACUGUACAGGUGUGGCAUGAGACUUCCCUCCUGAAAAUAUGGUCUCACGGACCCACUGAUUGAGGUGAGUCACCACCAAGUCGGUGUCAGCCGGGAACUUAGAGCUGGAUCUCCUGGCCUUCGGAGUCCUCAUCUCUGGUAAGACGGUAUGGGAGCUAGGAGGCCGACAGGAACAUUUGGACUCCCCGUGACUUAUGUUUUUGCCAGGCAUGCGCCCUGCUGCUGAAGCCAAAGGUUCUAACAGGAAGGCACCUAAGAUAGCCUUCUGGCGGUGAUAAACUGUGAACCUCCCUGGGGGGUUAACCCCCUAUGACAAUGGCAGUCAAGUCACACCCCCAUGCAUUCUUAGGCACCAGGUACAGAGGGUGGGAGCUGGGAAUCUUGCGGUAAAUUCUCCAUCAGUGUUCAGCACAGGGUUGGACAAUUUUCCCUUGAUCCUGAUUUACUAGUAACUUUGAAAUUUUAGAGGCUUCCCCGAGUUUACCCCACUUCCUGUCCACUGGGCUAAAGAUAUCACCGUAUUUAAAUGUGGCUUAAUUAGGCUGCUCUGCUGCAAGGCAGAGGACACUGGUUACUAAGUGUGAAGGCUCAAGCACUACAGGAAGAACUGCUUGACAUAUUGAAAGGACUCAUGGUCUGCAAACGGAGAAAGUUCCUCAUGUGCCCCAGAUCUGGUCACAACCAAGCAGUGUGGUUUCCGUUUGUCAGCUUAAGAAACAGGCCCUAGGAGGGCACUAACCCUAGGAGGGCAGCAAAUGGCCAAGCUGGAACUGGGACCAGCCAGUAUUAAAACAAACAGGACAACUCAGUGACCUUUGGCUCUAAGGUCUUGGGACUUUUUGCUUUGCUGGUAUAGGUCCCUAAUCCCAAGGAGUUUGGUGUUGAACUCAAGAAAGCCUGUGAUUGAAAAGCAGCUAGCACACAGUAGUUUUUUUUUCCCCUGAGGGAUGAGAGAGGCAGGGAGGGUAGAGGGCAAGCGAACUGUCAAGGUCCUUGGGAAAUGCCUUGUUAUAGCUAGACUUCCUUGGAAGCUGAUGGUAGGCAUUCUGGCAAUUGCACCCCCCCCCCCCCCCCCCGCCUCGCCCCGGGUCCGAAAACCUCUCGGUGUUUGGAUUUGCAGGUCGGGGUAGAUGGAUGGGCGGGACAGUUCAGGUUCUCAAAUUGUAGAUUAGGAAAUUGAGGGACUCAGCCCCCACCGUCAGAUUUACUGCAAUGCAUGAAGUCCAUCUAGUCCAGUGCAAUAAUUCUUACUCGUCUAGUGACUGUGGGCAGGACCUGUGGCCUGGCCCCCAUCCCAGGCAAGGCUCUGAAGCGGGAAGAGGAACCAAAAGCUAAGCUCGUUCUUGGAGAAUGCACGCGGGGACGCAGAGCUGGGAGCUGGGGCGCCCGUUUCCCCUCCCCGAGGAACGCGAACUGCCCCAGGUGCCCCAAAGCUCAACCUCCCCCACCCGUCCCUGGCGCGCCCUGAGUCUCGGCGGUCACGUCUCCCCAUCCGGCUCCAAAGUGCGAGCCAGAUGCAGCCCGGCCAGCGGGUGGGAAGGCUGCGCCAGGGGCAGGCACGGGAGUGGUCCCCAGCCCUGCCGUGCCCCAGUCGGCAGGGGCGAGGUCGCCGCGAGGCAGGCAACGCCCCAGCAGGGCGCUCCUGGGGCACCAGGGCGGGGAGGGGCGGGGCUGGGGAAGCCUCCAGGCCGCGCCCCCGAGCGCCGCGGGGCCCCUGUUGCUGGGGAGAAAAGCGCGCCCGGCCCCGCCCCGAGCCCGCGGGCGCAGCGCCCUCUGCUGGUAAGGCCUCAGAACUACGCAGAUACCCUGUCGACCUAAACUGGGGAGAAGGGUCACCAUCAUCUUAGGGAAAAAGGAAGAAAAUAACUAGAUUAAAAAAUGAGCCGUGCGCGUUACAGGACAUUUUGAAAGGUGACGAAGUUAUGCCUAUUUUUUUCUAGAAAAAGCUCUCUGCAAAUUUAUAUGUAUGUUUUUGUUUUUAUACAGGGUCUUAUAUAGCCCAGGCUGGCCUUGAACUCUGGAUCCUCCUUGCCUGAGCAUCUGAGCUCUGUGAUUACAGGUAUUUGCCAUCGGACACUCCUAGAUGAUUGGUUUAGGAAAAAUCCAGAGACGUUUUUAGUCAUGUGGAUGCUCAAAAAACAUUUGUUUCUAUAGAAAUAGGAUCAAGACUUACCCAGCUAGAAUCACCAUUUUUAAAAUUGUAUUAUUUAUUUAUUUAUUUAUUUAUUUUUACCAUGCUAAUGUUUCUAUGUGGUUCCCUGGUUGUGAGCACCUACAAAGCUGACAGUAAAAUGGCCCACUGACCAGCCAGGUUAACUAGAAUCUGAGGUGGAUGAGGAUGGAGUACUGUUCAUAGUGACCUACAGAUGUCCUUCUCACAGCACUGUCUGGGACAAUACCCAGAAAUCAAACACGCCCCAUUUCUACAGUAGAAUGUAUGACUGUUCACACUGAGUAGGACAAAUACGUGCCAGCAACCAGCUGCAUGUCAGUUCAGGGCAGAUGGGUUUUUAUAAUAAAGAAGUCUUUUUUGUUUUCCAGAGUGUUUUUGUGGUUUGGACCUGCACUAACUUCCAUGCUAACGGAGAGGCAGAUGGAGUGAACAAGGCUUCCCCCAGCUGUUCAGCUUGCCUCUCGUGGUCUAGUGCUGGGCAGUUUGGUUGGAGUUUGGGAAUGUGGACAGACUGCCUUCUCCACUCCCAGUUUGCCACUUUAAGGCCAGUAGACCAACCCAGGUUUCCUGGCCACCUGGAUUCCCUUCAGGACUAACCUUAGCACUGGAACGUUUGCAUGGACUUUUGAAGGAAAGCAGUGGCGUGACUUACUGACUGCUGGCUUGGGCAGAGCCUUCCAGCCCAGUCCCAGCUUGGCUUUGCCACAUGCAGCUAAAACAUCCCACAUCUCCUGUAAUGGGUUUUACCACCUUGUUCUCAUAUGCAGCCAGCAAGAAUGGCGAUAUCUCAAAUUGUUUAGGAGCCUCUGGGGCUUACCCAGCUCCCCCCACCCCCAUCCCUGGCUCUGGGAUUUUCAUUCAGUUAAUCUUAUGACUAUUCUGUGUGCCUUUCCUAUCCACUCAAGGCGCCCUCUGCAUUUAAACACCGUACAUUAAUCAACAUAUGGUUUUUCUUCUCAGUUCCCUUGUUAGGUAUCAUCUAUACCUUACCCAUCCUUAAAAUUUGCUAGAGUUUGACAGGUAUGUCUGAUUCUUGUGUGCUAAGCCAAAUGAUUUCCCAACUUACCUCUUUAGAUGCCUGCACAUCUUCAGUGCUUCCUCAGCACACUCAAAGGUUGGAAUUAUAGCAUCUCCGCAAUGAAAUCUCUGUAUAAAGGUAAGUAGGAUGUCUGAAAGCUCCUGUCAUUCCAAACAAGUGCCAUUCUGUCUGGGAAUCCUGCAGUUAAGGAGAUGCCGUGCAGGGAGGAGGGGUGUACCAAAGAGCCCACCACUCCCAUCAACAUGCCUCAAUUGUCUCCUCAAAAGGGUGUGACUGGAGGUUAGGUGGCUCAGUAGUUAAGCACACACCGCUCUGGCAGGGGAAUCCCAGCGCAGCCCCAUCACUGAGACCAGGUGGCUCAGAACUACUUGCAACCACAGUGCUAGGGAAUCCAACUUAAGCCCUCACAGGUACCACAUGCACCAGGCCAUGCCCAGAUGCACAUAAAUUCACACAAUUAAAAAUAAGGGGUGUUGGUGGUGGAGGGGGUGAGAGGUGAUGGGGUGAAGAACUCUGGGAGGUGGGGGAUUGGGAAAGGGAUCAAUGUAAAUAAAUAAGAUUUAAUAACAAAAAUUGAAAAUAAUUAAAACACAAAUAAAAAUCAAUCUUUAUAAAGAGUAACACUGGGUAUGGCAGCAUGGUAGAACGCAUUACUUUAUUCAACUCUGUGAGAUGCAAUUGUUCCCCACCAGCCACUCUACCUUCAUGUCCUAAGGCCCUGCCUCCCCAAGUCUGAGGAGCUCCAGGCAGGAAGCUGGCUCUAUACAUCCUGCCAGUGUGAAGGAAGAGCAGAGCUAGGCUUCAGGUUCCCAGCAUCUGACAGACUCUGCACCAACAUAAGCCAGCGGCUGCCUCUCCAUGAGCCACAUUGGCUGCUGGGAAGGCCCUGGGCUUGGGUGAACAAUCUCUACCCCAGGACAUUUUCUAGUAGGGGAGAAAUGUCCAUAGCCUACUAUUGGAGGACAGUUGCCUUUCCCUAACACAGCAUACACAGAGAUUUAAUCUUCAUUACGUGCUCUGCUCUAUCGUUGAUAACCCUGUCAAACACUUGCUCAGGUUGGAAAAGAGGCUCACAAGUGUCCGGUCUGGCUUCCUGUCAACAGUUUUCUUUAGGAAUUCUGACUCAACACAAAUCUUGCCAUAUUUGCUUUCGCGUGACCCACUCUGCCUGCCUUUCUAUUAUUCUAGCUCUGUAUAAACCCAGCUUGCAUGCCAGUCUAAGUCAUUCGCAUCUGCCAGAGCCUUUUCUACUUUGUAAAGCACGUGACCUACCUUUGGACUCAACAAAGCCACUAACGGCUCCACACAGUCCCCAAGGUCCCUGCUGAAUUAAAUUGCUUUUAAAGACUACAUUCCUUUAUGCCCCAGUGCAUGUGAGGGGUCAGAGGAUGCUCUGCUGGGGUUGGUUUUCUCCCUACCAUGUGAGUCAAGGAGAUCAAGUUCAGGUCAAGAUUGGUGGCUAGUGCCUUCACCUGCCGAGCCAUCCACCGCACCAGCUUGUACAUACUUUAAUUCUCUUAUGAAAACAGUCCUACCAGGACCAGUGACUGGCCAAAUACCAGUCACUACUUGAUGAGGAUGUAGUCCCCACAGGAAACCUUCCUCUGGUGUGUCCAGUCCCUGAUAUUCAUGGGGACUUCAGUUUGUGACAACCAAGUGUCUGUAUGUUUGUGUUGGUUACUUUCUGUUGUUGUGACAACGCACUAUGACCAGGACAGCUUGAAGAAGAAGAAGAAGAAGUGUGCAUUGGGACAGACUUUUCCAGAGACAAACAUGGUGGCUGGAGCGGGAAACCUAAGAGAGGUCACAAUGUCAACUAUAAGCACAAAGCAGGAAGUGUAAACUGGAAGUAGGGUGAGGCUAUGUCCUCUCAAAACCCAACCCCAGUGACACACUUCUGCCAGCAAGGACACACCUUCUAAACCUCCCCUAACAGCACCAGUAACUGGCGCCAGGUGUUCAAAUGCCUCAGCCUAUGGGAGCCAGUUUUCAUUCAAACCACAAGAGCUCACGUGACCCAGCCCAUCAAAGACAAGUUAAUUCCCCCUCAGCUUGACUUGAAUAAUUUUUUUUACAUAGGUUCUUCAUCAGCUCCAUGCUCAGACUGAUGCCAUCCACUGCCAGGUCCUACAGCCCUACUAACUAGGCUACGAGAGGGUCUUUCACAUUUGCUCAAACUCCUUCCUGCUGGGCAGCACAAGUCUUUAACCUCAGUACUAUCUACUGGGGGAAGCAGAGAUAGGUGGAGGCCAGCAUUGUCUGUCUGCAGAGUUACAAAAUACCCAGUCUCAAUAAAAUAAAAUAAAAUAAAAUAAAAUAAAAUAAAAUAAAGAGGCUUUCCUAAAGUGUCACCCCUGGUUGUCAUAGAUUCCUGUACUGGUCUGCUAUGCAAGUCCCGUCUGCACACCAAGAGCUUGGCCUGAGUGAGGGCCUACCUUUUCUUCUCCCUGUCCAGUUCUUCCCAUAGGUUAAGAUUUUGGAUACCAAGGAGGACUGCUUAGCACAGCCACAGCAAAGGCCCCAACACAGAUGCCACACCUGCUUAUAAUCUGCUCCCAUACAUACGAGUUACAGAUGCUGCAAAAUGAUCUCUAGCACGUCAGCCACUUGGGGGCACCCCGUGCUCAUGUGGCAGAUCUCCAUUUAUCAAGGUGGUGUCACUCUGUACCACAUAGAAGAUGGUCACCAUGCCUCCCCCCACCCCCAGCGUGCACAGCUCCAUCCUUGGACUGCUAUGCUUCCCUUGCAUGUCUUAAGGUUGCCCAAAGCAUCUUUCCCUCUGUUAUGUCCUUGUUUAGGUGCCCUGUUUGGGUUCUAGGGACACAUCAACAGUUGUCUAUUCACCCUGGGUGCAGCACUAACCGAGCAAAUAAACCUAUCCAUGUCUGGCAUGGUGA